rnacentral:rRNA from 1 species
UACGUAGGGGGCAAGCGUUGUCCGGAUUUAUUGGGCGUAAAGAGCGUGUAGGCGGCCAUACAGGUCCGUUGUGAAAACUGGAGGCUUAACCUCCAGACGUCGAUGGAAACCGUAUGGCUAGAGUACGGAAGAGGAGAGUGGAAUUCCUGGUGUAGCGGUGAAAUGCGCAGAUAUCAGGAAGAACACCCGUGGCGAAGGCGGCUCUCUGGGACGGUACUGACGCUGAGACGCGAAAGCGUGGGGAGCGAACAGG